rnacentral:rRNA from 1 species
GUCGAGCGAACAGAUGAGAAGCUUGCUUCUCUGAUGUUAGCGGCGGACGGGUGAGUAACACGUGGGUAACCUACCUAUAAGACUGGGAUAACUCCGGGAAACCGGGGCUAAUACCGGAUAAUAUUUUGAACCGCAUGGUUCAAUAGUGAAAGACGGUUUCGGCUGUCACUUAUAGAUGGACCCGCGCCGUAUUAGCUAGUUGGUAAGGUAACGGCUUACCAAGGCGACGAUACGUAGCCGACCUGAGAGGGUGAUCGGCCACACUGGAACUGAGACACGGUCCAGACUCCUACGGGAGGCAGCAGUAGGGAAUCUUCCGCAAUGGGCGAAAGCCUGACGGAGCAACGCCGCGUGAGUGAUGAAGGUCUUCGGAUCGUAAAACUCUGUUGUUAGGGAAGAACAAAUUUGUUAGUAACUGAACAAGUCUUGACGGUACCUAACCAGAAAGCCACGGCUAACUACGUGCCAGCAGCCGCGGUAAUACGUAGGUGGCAAGCGUUAUCCGGAAUUAUUGGGCGUAAAGCGCGCGUAGGCGGUUUCUUAAGUCUGAUGUGAAAGCCCACGGCUCAACCGUGGAGGGUCAUUGGAAACUGGGAAACUUGAGUGCAGAAGAGGAGAGUGGAAUUCCAUGUGUAGCGGUGAAAUGCGCAGAGAUAUGGAGGAACACCAGUGGCGAAGGCGGCUCUCUGGUCUGUAACUGACGCUGAUGUGCGAAAGCGUGGGGAUCAAACAGGAUUAGAUACCCUGGUAGUCCACGCCGUAAACGAUGAGUGCUAAGUGUUAGGGGGGUUCCGCCCCUUAGUGCUGCAGCUAACGCAUUAAGCACUCCGCCUGGGGAGUACGACCGCAAGGUUGAAACUCAAAGGAAUUGACGGGGACCCGCACAAGCGGUGGAGCAUGUGGUUUAAUUCGAAGCAACGCGAAGAACCUUACCAAAUCUUGACAUCCUUUGACCGCUCUAGAGAUAGAGUCUUCCCCUUCGGGGGACAAAGUGACAGGUGGUGCAUGGUUGUCGUCAGCUCGUGUCGUGAGAUGUUGGGUUAAGUCCCGCAACGAGCGCAACCCUUAAGCUUAGUUGCCAUCAUUAAGUUGGGCACUCUAGGUUGACUGCCGGUGACAAACCGGAGGAAGGUGGGGAUGACGUCAAAUCAUCAUGCCCCUUAUGAUUUGGGCUACACACGUGCUACAAUGGAUAAUACAAAGGGCAGCGAAUCCGCGAGGCCAAGCAAAUCCCAUAAAAUUAUUCUCAGUUCGGAUUGUAGUCUGCAACUCGACUACAUGAAGCUGGAAUCGCUAGUAAUCGUAGAUCAGCAUGCUACGGUGAAUACGUUCCCGGGUCUUGUACACACCGCCCGUCACACCACGAGAGUUUGUAACACCCGAAGCCGGUGGAGUAACCU